GGAGACGCUGGCGGCGUGCCUAAUACAUGCAAGUCGAACGGUCUUUCUAUGGAAGCUUGCUUCCACUGAGAAGAUAGUGGCGAACGGGUGAGUAACACGUGGGUAACCUGCCCAUAAGAGGGGGAUAACAUCCGGAAACGGGUGCUAAUACCGCAUAGUUUUUCUUGAUCGCAUGAUUGAGAAAGGAAAGACGGCCUUUGUGCUGUCGCUUAUGGAUGGACCCGCGGCGUAUUAGUUAGUUGGUGAGGUAACGGCUCACCAAGACGAUGAUACGUAGCCGACCUGAGAGGGUGAUCGGCCACAUUGGGACUGAGACACGGCCCAAACUCCUACGGGAGGCAGCAGUAGGGAAUCUUCCGCAAUGGACGAAAGUCUGACGGAGCAACGCCGCGUGAGUGAAGAAAAGGUUUUCGGAUCGUAAAACUCUGUUGUCAGAGAAGAACAAGUUGGAGAGUAACUGCUCCAGCCUUGACGGUAUCUGACCAGAAAGCCACGGCUAACUACGUGCCAGCCGCAGC
rnacentral:rRNA from 1 species